rnacentral:rRNA from 1 species
UACGGGGGGAGCAAGCGUUGUUCGGAUUUACUGGGCGUAAAGGGCACGUAGGCGGCCACCGCAAGUCGACUGUGAAAUCUCCGGGCUUAACCCGGAAAGGUCAGCCGAUACUGCGGGGCUAGAGUGCAGAAGGGGCAACUGGAAUUCUCGGUGUAGCGGUGAAAUGCGUAGAUAUCGAGAGGAACACCUGCGGCGAAGGCGGGUUGCUGGGCUGACACUGACGCUGAUGUGCGAAAGCUAGGGGAGCGAACGGG